UUUCUAUCUAGCUAUCACACUCUCUUUCUAAAGUGUGAUUGGUGCUUACGGACACAGGAAGUAUUUAGCCUUCAACACAAGGAGUUGUUAUAGAGCCAGUAAGUCAGCCAACCGUCAUCAGUAAGACAGGAUGGAUUUCUGUCCACUCUGUCUGAUGCUCUUGCUUAUUGGACUUGUCUGCUGUACACAAACAGCCUGGUGUCAUUCGCUCCAGCAUGGAGAACAACAGCUCAGAAGUUCUCGUUCAGGACUGCAGGGACCUGCGCAGUGACAUCAAGAACACAAGCUCCAGGAAAACAGCUAGUGUGCACCUUGCCUUUGGCUCUGGUAGCACGAACAUGCCGGGCGAUGUAAUCUCCAAGAAUCACAGUAUCGCAUUACGUCUCACUGAGAGGGGCAAAACGGUUUUCGAUCGAAAUCUUGAAGGCUAGUGUUGGCAAGGGAGACGUCCUCGACCGGGGCUUGGAUUUCGUCUUCCACUGUUGCAGCAUCCAGGGUCCGUGGUGCACCGGUGCCGGAGUGAAAGAUACCUGGGUAGGCAGGGAGACAUUUGGAGUUGAGGUGGUGGAGCAUUAGGUUCAACCCGAGAAUUUACCUGGGAUGAGUGAGCGUUUGCCCGAAAUGUUUCCAGCAGCCCACUUUUCGCUCCUGCAGCUAGGCAUGCUUUGCAUGUAGGUCACAAAUCUGUUUCUCCAAAGCCUUCAGCUCCAAAUCCACCGUUUGCAACCUCACCUGUGCUCAAAGGCAGACACACAACUGACAUAGUGUUUAUAAUAGCGAAUAGAGUUAAGAUAAAGUGUAAGAGUUAUUAUAAAGUGUGAGGCAAUGAUUGUAGUCAACACUAGUGGUAGUCGAGUUAUCGAGAGACAAAACAAUUCAGGAUUAUUUAAGGAGGAAAAAAGGAUAGAUAAAUAGUAAAGUUUAGUUUGAAAAAGCACAAAAAAUCUUAGAAUAUAAAUAGAAAUAUCUUAGCAUAGACAAGAAAAAGUAGUCCUGCAUGUGAUGGUGAUGGUUUGUCCCCAACAGAGAGCCCUGAUCUCAACAUUAUAGAGUGUGCCUGCUGUUACAGAAAGAUACAGAAGGAUUUGAUCAGCCUAGAUAUGUGGUUAGUUCUCCAAGAUGCUUGGAACAACAUAAUUGUUGAAUUUCUUCUAAAACUGUCUGCAAGUGGAAGAAUUGAUGCUGUUUUGCAGGGAGAGGGUGGUCCUCCAAAUAUUGAUUUGACUUGAAUUUUUCUUCUGUUCACUUACAUCCUAUUUUGCUAACUGACAAAAGUAAUUAUUAACACUAGUAUAUUUAAAAUUGUUUUUCAUUUAAAGCAUUUUUCAUACAUGCAUACAAUAGUUGUCACCCACUUGGCCCACUGUAAGGUCUUUAACAGGGAUUGCUAACUAUGGCUAAGGCAUCCAGACUUUCAAAUGUUUGCAAUAUUGGAUAAAUUACAUAUCCAAGUUUGAUUUGUAUAGCUUAGUUCUGCCAGCAAUGGCAUCAUUUUUUAAAAUACUCGGGUAAAUGUUAAA